rnacentral:rRNA from 1 species
CCUACGGGCGGCAGCAGUGAGGAAUAUUGGUCAAUGGGCGUAAGCCUGAACCAGUCAAGCCGCGUGAGGGAUGAAGGUUCUAUGUAUCGUAAACCUCUUUUAUAAGGGAAUAAAGUGCGGGACGUGUCCCGUUUUGUAUGUACCUUAUGAAUAAGGAUCGGCUAACUCCGUGCCAGCAGCCGCGGUAAUACGGAGGAUCCGAGCGUUAUCCGGAUUUAUUGGGUUUAAAGGGUGCGUAGGCGGCCUUUUAAGUCAGCGGGGAAAGUCUGUGGCUCAACCAUAGAAGUGCCGUUGAAACUGGGAGGCUGGAGUAGGUUGGAGGACGGCGGAAUGCGUGGUGUAGCGGUGAAAUGCUGAGAUAUCACGCAGAACCCCGAUUGCGAAGGCAGCGUGCCAAGCCAUGACUGACGCUGAUGCACGAAAGCGUGGGGAUCAAACAGGAUUAGAUACCCGUGUAGUC